rnacentral:rRNA from 1 species
GUGAGUCAUCGAAUCUUUGAACGCACCUUGCACUCUUUGGUAUUCCGAAGAGUAUGUCUGUUUGAGUGUCAUGAAACUCUCAACCCCCCUAUUUUGUAAUGAGAUGGGCGUGGGCUUGGAUUAUGACUGCUGUCGGCGUAAUUGCCGGCUCAGUUGAAAUACACGAGCAACCCAUUUGAAAUAAACGGCUUGACUCGGCGUAAUAAUUAUUUCGCUGAGGACGUUUUCUUCAAAAGUUAGAGGUGCUUCUAAUGCGCUAUUACAGCACUUUAAAUUUUAGACCUCAAAUCAGUCAGGACUACCCGCUGAACUUAA